rnacentral:rRNA from 1 species
UACGUAGGUGGCAAGCGUUGUCCGGAUUUAUUGGGGUUAAAGGGGGCGUAGGCGGCCUUAUAAGUCAGUGCUGAAAUAUCCCGGCUUAACCGGGAGGGUGGCAUUGAUACUGUAGGGCUUGAGUGUAGUCGAGGUAGGCGGAAUUGACGGUGUAGCGGUGAAAUGCUUAGAUAUCGUCAAGAACACCGAUAGUGUAGACAGCUUACUAGGCUACAACUGACGCUGAGGCACGAAAGUGUGGGGAUCAAACAGG